ncrna:unclassified sequences HTH-XRE RNA
GAUCAGCAAUGUCGGAGCGUCAGGACAGGGCGCAUCGGAACUUCCGGCUCUAUUAAUGGGCUUGCGAAGGUUGAUUUCCCUUUC